UACAGAGGGGGCAAGCGUUGUUCGGAAUUACUGGGCGUAAAGGGCGCGUAGGCGGCCUGCUAAGUCGAACGUGAAAUCCCCGAGCUCAACUCGGGAACUGCGUCCGAUACUGGCAGGCUUGAAUCCGGGAGAGGGAUGCGGAAUUCCAGGUGUAGCGGUGAAAUGCGUAGAUAUCUGGAGGAACACCGGUGGCGAAGGCGGCAUCCUGGACCGGCAUUGACGCUGAGGCGCGAAAGCUAGGGGAGCGAACGGG
rnacentral:rRNA from 1 species